AUAAUCAAUCGCAGCAGCCCAAACAAGGCACCUCAGUAAAGGCCCAGGAUCCCAUCUCCCUCCUCCCACCUCCAUCACCAUCCGCCUCCGGCGGCGGCGCCGCCCACCUUCAUAACCCACCACACAAUAGCCCUCCGCGCCAUGCCCCUACCCGUUCCCACCUCCCGCCUCCUCGCCGCCAUCUCCGCUGCCGCGUCCUCAACUGCAGACCUCCGCCGCCUCUCCCACCUCCUCCUCACCCCCUACACCCCACUCCCCCCGCUCCGCUGCCUCAAUACCCUCCUCAUGGCGCUCGCCCGCCACCGCAUGCUCCCAGACAUGGAGUCCUUCGCAUCCCGCAUGCCCGCGCGCAACCUUCACACGUACACCACCCUUAUCAAUGCCUACUGCCUCGCCGGCGACCUCCCUGCUGCCAAGCGGCAUCUUGCCUCCCUACUCCGCGCUGGUCUUGCGCCGGACUCUCAUGCGUAUACCUCAUUUGUUCUCGGAUAUUGUCGGGCCGGGCUGCUUUCGCACGCCUGCCGGGUGUUCGUGCUAAUGCCGCUCCGAGGAUGUGCACGCACUGUGUUCACGUACACUGCGUUGCUCCAUGGGCUGUGUGGCGCCGGUAUGGUGCGUGAGGCUGUGGCAGUGUUUGCUGGGAUGCGGGCAGACGGGUGCGCCCCUGACACACAUGUGUAUGCCACGAUGGUGCAUGGACUGUGUGGGGCGGGGCGAACUGGUGAGGCAGAGGUUAUUCUCACGGAGGCAAUGGCUGAGGGUUUUGAGCCAAAUGUGGUCGUCUACAAUGCCCUGAUUGAUGGCUACUGCAAUGCUGGGGAUCUGGAGCUCGCGGUUAAGGUUUAUGAGAGGAUGGAUCUUAAGGGGUGCUCAGCGAACGUGCGAACGUAUACUGAGCUGAUAUGUGGGUUCUGCAAAUCUGGCAAGGUGGACAGAGCCAUGGUGAUGUUCAGCCGGAUGGUUGAGGCUGGUUUGGCUCCAAAUGUGGUGACAUACACGGCCUUAAUUCAGGGGCAGUGCAAUGAUGGGCAGUUGGAAUGUGCUUUUAGGAUGCUCCAAUCGAUGGAGGCCACUGGGCUGGUUCCUAGUGAGUGGACUUGCUCGAUGUUGAUUGAUGCUCUGUGCAAACGUGGAAGGGUUGGGGAAGCUCAGUUGUUUCUUGGGUCUCUUAUACAGAAAGGAUACAGAGUGAAUGAGAUUGUCUACAGCAGCUUGAUUGAUGGACUGUGCAAGGCAGGAAAGGUUGAUGCUGCUGACAAGUUAAUGCAGAAAUUGGUUUCACAGGGGUUUGUGCUAGACGCUCACACAUACAGUUCACUAAUUGAUGGAUUAUGCAGGCAAAAGGAGUUGUCACAAGCGAUGUUGGUGUUGGAUGAUAUGAUGGUGAAAGGAGUACAACCCAAUACUGUCACGUAUACCAUUCUAAUUGAUGAGCUUGUUAGGGAGCUAGGAUCUGAAGGUUCAAAGAAGAUACUUAAUAAGAUGAUUGCGGCAGGAAUUAAUCCUGAUGUUUUCACGUACACAAUAUUUGUUCGCUCCUACUGUCAUGAGGGAAGGAUGGAAGAUGCUGAACAUAUGAUGGUUGAAAUGGUUGAUCAGGGCAUUUCCCCUAAUUUAGUGACAUAUAACACUUUGAUUAGUGGGUAUGCAAAUUUAGGACUAGCCAGUCAAGCAUUUUCAGUUUUCAAGCACAUGGUUGCUAGUAGAUGCAAGCCAAAUGAGGAGUCCUACACGGCCCUGCUUAGAUUAUUGGUAAAGAAAAAAUCCUCUAAUAAUAUCCUUGCCAGCUCUGUUGAUAUAUGGAAAAUAGCAGAAAUGGAAUAUCUCCAGGAGCUUCUGGAGGAGGUGGUUAAGCUUCAGUUGCUUUCAGACAUUGAAAUUUACAAUUGUUUUCUUAGGUCUUUAUGCCGAGUUGAUAGAUUGGAGGAAACCAAAAUUUUGCUCGGUGAGAUGCAGAGUGCUAACUUGACCCCUGGUGAGGAUGUAUAUACUUCAAUUAUAGGGUGUUGUUGCAGACUAAAAAUGCCAACAGAAGCUUUGACAUUUCUUGAUUCAAUGGUCAAAAGUGGUUAUUUACCACGUAUAGAAUCGUAUAGGCAUAUUAUUUGUUCUCUUUGUGAGGAGGGAAGUAUUAAGACUGCUAAAAAGGUUUUGGGUCACAUGUUAUUGGAGGAAUACAACUAUGAUGAGAUUGUUUGGAAGAUUCUGAUUGAUGGUCUAUUGCGGAAGGGCAAUGCUGCUGAGUGUUUGAUUCUGCUCUCAGUGAUGGAGGAGCAAGAUUAUCGUCCUGGUGACGCAUUGUAUGCCAAGCUUACAGCAGGCUGUUUCAUCCCUUGGAGGAAGCACACCCUUUCAGAAUACCACACAAACUCUACAUAGAAUAGCUCUCAGCCAAUGGCUAGACUUGUAUGUGUCAGGCAUGCAACAGAUUCUCAAUGGUAUUGGGAACUUCUCAACCAACUCGGAGAGCAACGUGAGCGGGUGCAUUCUAUUUUGCAGAUGGCAAGGCAGUUGUCGUCACAGGAAGAAAGAAGGAUCAGGGAUAUCAAUUACCUGCUUGAAGAGAUAUAUACAACACCGAAGUUGAAUUGUUUGUUCAGUUGAUUGCUGUAACUUGGUGAAAUUACUAGUUUCUAAUGGUAAAGAGCAUGAAUAUUGACAAUUAUCUAAGUAUGUUCCAGACUGCUCCUCGAAGAAUACUUGAAUGGUAAAUAGGAUAGUCAAAUUCUGGAAGAUUCUAUGGAUGCAACUCAUUGCUAAUGCACCGAGUCAGCUUCUGUAUAUAUGCCGGUUCAUAAUACCGGCAGUAACCUCGAUAGGGUGUCAUGCGUAACCGGAAGGCCAAAAGGGAGUCACAUGAGGCAGUUACCCAGGUCCAGUCCAGGCCCUCACGGUGGAGAGUUCCAAGAAUGUUUUGGAAGGCAACUUGAAGACUUUGGUUCCAUUAUUUUAGAAUCACGUGGACGACAGGUGCUUGUAAAGCUGCACACUUGGUGUAAAGAGGUGUCUGAAAAACUGUGAGGGAGGUAGUUGUUCGGGGCGUCAUAUAUAACCAUAUUUCAGAAUGGUUAGGUGGAUGCUCAGUAUGCUACCAAUACAUUGUAGCGACACCAGCAAUUGUACUUCUGUAGCAUGCCAAAAUAGUAAAUAAGAACAUAGCAACUUUGUUCUCUUGGAAACCUACCCUCGAGCGCUCGCGCUGCUCCCAAGGGUGGCGGCGGGGGCUAUCUGGACCCGCCAGGGCCGGUGCGUGUGGAUGGUGCUCUGUUCUGGAUGGUGCUCUUCUACUACUCUGUCUGCGGGGGCUAUCUGGACCUGCUAGGAGGUGAGGAGCUCCAGCUCCACAUUUGAGGGCGGGGGAUGUUUGGGGUGCUAUCAGGUGUGCAGUACUCCUGACGUAGGUCCUGCUCAUUAUGGGUGAUGACAAUACUCGCGGGUGUUGUUUCCUUCUUGGAGGCCUCAUCGAGGAGAUUCGGCCCCUCUCCCAUCCCCGAGCUUUACUCUCCGGGUGAAAACCAAUAUCUGCCUCGUCGGAUCGGCGACUACAGCACCCUUGGCGUUGUUUCUGCAAUGGAAGCAUUGUUCUUUUGGAGUUUUGACCACUUGGCAGGAGCACCUAGACUGGUGAAGUGGCUGGUCGGAAGCUGGCGGUGCCGAGGUGGGGGUGGUGUCUGCGGUGGCGUGUCCAUUUGGGGCUGAGUGUUGGCCGUCAGUGUUGGGCAGUUGGAGCACACGUGACAUGCAUUGCAGCAUCAAGCAAGUCUUGUUGGAGCGGCACAUGUUUGCUCCUCUUUCAUCGGAUAUGGCUUCUCUCUCCGGUGUCGACGAGGUCACAAAACAUACUUGUGGUAGUCCUGCCCGAUGCAACAAGUGGUGCUCUUUGGUAAAGUCGAGGCGAAGUCGAAGUCGCCCGGCUGUGAGUAUGGUUGCUGAUGUAUGAUGACACCCCUUUAUCGGCAAUGUGAUUUUAUGUUUGUGUUGUGGCGUUCUUU